UCGCGUGAGGGAAGACGGCCCUACGGGUUGUAAACCUCUUUUGUCGGAGAGUAAAGUACGCUACGCGUAGCGUAUUGCAAGUAUCCGAAGAAAAAGCAUCGGCUAACUCCGUGCCAGCAGCCGCGGUAAUACGGAGGAUGCGAGCGUUAUCCGGAUUUAUUGGGUUUAAAGGGUGCGUAGGCGGCACGCCAAGUCAGCGGUGAAAUUUCCGGGCUCAACCCGGAGUGUGCCGUUGAAACUGGCGAGCUAGAGUGCACAAGAGGCAGGCGGAAUGCGUGGUGUAGCGGUGAAAUGCAUAGAUAUCACGCAGAACCCCGAUUGCGAAGGCAGCCUGCUAGGGUGCGACAGACGCUGAGGCACGAAAGCGUGGGUAUCGAACAGGAUUAGAUACCCUGGUAGUCCACGCAGUAAACGAUGAAUACUAACUGUUUGCGAUACAAUGUAAGCGGUA
rnacentral:rRNA from 1 species